CGGAGAGACUUCAGUGGCGUGCCAAAGGGUUUUGAAGGGCGGGGUCAGAAAACAAAGCCCCCCCCUCACUGCUGGUCUUUGUCCUCCUCAUCUUGUUUCUUCUCCACAGAGAGUCUUUCCUACCAGAGCAGUUGGCUGAGCUUCCUGCGGAGGUUUGAUCUGUCUGAGAAAACCAGGAAAGUUCCUCCUCGUUUGUGUUCAAACAGCUCUGCACACCUGGGCGUCCUGGAUGCUCUCAGAGACCAGAGUCUUCUUGGUGAUUGUGUUAUUCUGGAUUUCUGCUCGUUUUGCCAUCAACUGAUCCUGGAUUGAUGGACUGGAUCACAGUCUGGGUUCUGGGUAAUGGCAGUGGUUUCUAUCCAUCAACCUGGUGAAGCUCCACAUCAGCCUGAUUCACUCCUUCAUCUCCACUGGGAACAGAUUCAACCGUCUGACUGAUGAUCUUGACCUUCCUGUCUCUUCUAUACUUGAUCCUGUUGCAUGAAGAAAUAAUAGAAAGACGUCCAGAAAAGAUGAAUGAGUUAUUAAUAUAGAUAAUAUGAGGUCA